UCCCUGGUGGUCCAGUGGCUAAGACUCUGCACUCCCAAUGCAGUGGACCCAGGUUCGAUCCCUGCUCACGGAA
rfam:Ovis aries breed Texel chromosome 13, whole genome shotgun sequence.